GGCUUCGUAGCUCAGCUGGUAGAGCAUUUACCCUGCUUAGGCAUGUUGUUUCUGUCGCUGCUUCGAAUCCAGCCGAAGUCC
rnacentral:tRNA from 1 species